CACUGUGGAAUUCGCCCUUGCGCUACCUGGUUGAUCCUGCCAGUAGUCAUAUGCUUGUCUCAAAGAUUAAGCCAUGCAUGUUCCAGUAUGAGUUUUUAUAUAACGAAACUGCGAAGGGCUCAUUAAAUCGGUUAUUAAACAAUCGACGGUUAUCAUAUAUGGUUAUCCGUGGUAAUUCUACGGCUAAUACAUGUACGACCCUUCGGGGUGCCUAUAUUUCGACUUUGACAAACAAGGCUCGUCCUUGAUCGUCCUGAGGAAAUUAUCUGUGCUUAUCAUUUCCCAAGAAAGAAGCUUCGAAAUUAUUUCCGCCCUAUCAGCUUUCGUCGGUAACAUAGUGGUUUACCGUGGCAGUGACGGGUAACGGGGAAUUAGGGUUUGACUCCGGAGAGGGAGCCUGAGAAACGGCUACCACAUCUAUGGAAGGCAGCAGGCGCGCGAAUUACCCAAUCCUAUACUAGGGAGGUAGUGACAAGAAAUAACAACAUAGAUAUAUUUUAUCUAUGAUUGGAAUGAAAGGACUUUAAAUCAUUUCUUGAGGAUCCAUUGGAGGGCAAGUCUGGUGCCAGCAGCCGCGGUAAUUCCAGCUCCAACAGCGUAUAUUAAAGUUGCUGCAGUUAAAACGCUCGUAGUUGUUGUCCAACUAUACGCCGCUCUCAAGCAAUUGGGAGUUGUCUAAUAGUUUAGCGGAACUCGUUUCUGCCAAAACCUUGAGGAAAGAUUAGUGUUCCAAGCAAUUAUCUCUUUGUCCUCCCCAGCAUGGUAUUCAACCUAACAGAAGAAAAGUGUCGAUUUUCUUCUUACUAUAUAGAAAUUCAAGGGGGUAUACGUACUUUAAUGUCAGAGGUGAAAUUCUUAGAUUUUUAAAAGACGGUCAAUUGCGAAAGCAUUCACCAAGCGACUUUUCUUUGAUCAAGAACGAAAGUUAGGGGAUUGAAGACGAUCAGAUACCGUCGUAAUCUUAACCGUAAACUAUGCCGACUUGUCGCAGGUAGACGUUUCCUUCAUGUUUAUCGUCGACUUUUGAGAAAUCAAAGUUUUUGGGUUCUGGGGGGAGUAUGAUUGCAAGAUUGAAACUUAAAGGAAUUGACGGAAGGGCACCACCAGGAGUGGAGCUUGCGGCUUAAUUUGACUCAACACGGGAAAUCUCACCAGCCCCACACAUAAAGAGGAUUGACAGUUUGAUAGUUCUUUCUUGAUUCUAUGGUUGGUGGUGCAUGGCCGUUCUUAGUUGGUGGAGUGAUCUGUCUGGUUAAUUCCGUUAACGAACGAGAUCUUACCCUACUAAAUAGACAAUUGUACGAUUUUCUUCUUAGAGGGACUCUUGAUCGUUUAGAUCAAGGAAGUUUGAGGUAAUAACAGGUCUGUGAUGCCCCUAGACGUUCUGGGCUGCACGCGCGCUACAAUAAUACGCACAACAAGUAUUACCCAGCUCGAAAGGGUAAGGUAAACAUCGGAAAAGGUACUGUAAUGGUUAUAGAUCCUUGUAAUUAUUGAUCUUCAACGAGGAAUUCCUAGUAAGUAUGUGUCAUCAUCACGCACUGAUUACGUCCCUGCCCUUUGUACACACCGCCCGUCGCUCCUACCGAUUGAGUGAUCCGAUGAAACUCUCGGACGCAGUAUAGUUACUAUGUUGAAAAAGAGAUUUGAAUCGUACCACUUAGAGGAAGGAGAAGUCGUAACAAGGUUUCCGUAGGUGAACCUGCAGAAGGAUCAAGGGCGAAUUCCACAUUGGG
rnacentral:rRNA from 1 species